AAUAGAUACCCGGGUAGUCCAUGCCGUAAACGUUGGGCGCUAGAUGUGGGGACCAUUCCACGGUUUCCGUGUCGCAGCUAACGCAUUAAGCGCCCCGCCUGGGGAGUACGGCCGCAAGGCUAAAACUCAAAGGAAUUGACGGGGGCCCGCACAAGCGGCGGAGCAUGCGGAUUAAUUCGAUGCAACGCGAAGAACCUUACCAAGGCUUGACAUAUACGAGAACGCUCUAGAAAUAGAGAACUCUUUGGACACUCGUAUACAGGUGGUGCAUGGUUGUCGUCAGCUCGUGUCGUGAGAUGUUGGGUUAAGUCCCGCAACGAGCGCAACCCUCGUUCUAUGUUGCCAGCAGUUCGGCCGGGAACUCAUAGGAGACUGCCGGGGUCAACUCGGAGGAAGGUGGGGAUGACGUCAAAUCAUCAUGCCCCUUAUGUCUUGGGCUUCACGCAUGCUACAAUGGCCGGUACAAAGGGCUGCAAUACCGUAAGGUGGAGCGAAUCCCGAAAAAGCCGGUCUCAGUUCGGAUUGAGGUCUGC
rnacentral:rRNA from 1 species